UACGGGGGGGGCAAGCGUUGUUCGGAAUUACUGGGCGUAAAGGGUUCGUAGGUGGCUUGCUAAGUCAGACGUGAAAUCCCUCAGCUUAACUGGGGAACUGCGUCUGAGACUGGCAAGCUUGAGUGCAGGAGAGGAACGCGGAAUUCCGGGUGUAGUGGUGAAAUGCGUAGAGAUCCGGAGGAACGCCAGUGACGAAGGUGGCUACCUGGCCCUGACCUGACACUGAGGGGCGAAAGCGUGGGGAGCGAACCGG
rnacentral:rRNA from 1 species